UUAAUAUAUGGAAGGAGAAAAGGUUAGCACUGCCCUUGAUAAGAAUGGAAAAGGUCCUGGUGUCCUUUACAGUACACAUAUGUCUAAGGCAUUGCCACCUACUCUGUAGCAUCUAAAUAUGUUUUUAG
ensembl:snRNA